GAGUUUGAUCCUGGCUCAGGAUGAACGCUAGCGGCAGGCUUAACACAUGCAAGUCGAGGGGUAACGGGGAAGCUUGCUUCCGCCGACGACCGGCGCACGGGUGCGUAACGCGUAUACAAUCUACCUUAUACUGGGGUAUAGCCUUUAGAAAUGAAGAUUAACCCCCCAUAGUCUCUUAGAGUGGCAUCACUUCUAGAGUAAAGGUUACGGUAUAAGAUGAGUAUGCGUUCUAUUAGUUUGUUGGUAAGGUAACGGCUUACCAAGACUACGAUAGAUAGGGGCCCUGAGAGGGGGAUCCCCCACACAGGUACUGAGACACGGACCAGACUCCUACGGGAGGCAGCAGUGAGGAAUAUUGGACAAUGGAGGCAACUCUGAUCCAGCCAUGCCGCGUGUAGGAUGACUGCCCUAUGGGUUGUAAACUACUUUUAUACAGGAAGAAACACCUCUACGUGUAGAGGCUUGACGGUACUGUAAGAAUAAGGAUCGGCUAACUCCGUGCCAGCAGCCGCGGUAAUACGGAGGAUCCAAGCGUUAUCCGGAAUCAUUGGGUUUAAAGGGUCCGUAGGUGGAUAAUUAAGUCAGAGGUGAAAUCUUGCAGCUCAACUGUAAAAUUGCCUUUGAUACUGGUUAUCUUGAGUUAUUAUGAAGUAGUUAGAAUAUGUAGUGUAGCGGUGAAAUGCAUAGAUAUUACAUAGAAUACCAAUUGCGAAGGCAGAUUACUAAUAAUCAACUGACACUGAUGGACGAAAGCGUGGGUAGCGAACAGGAUUAGAUACCCUGGUAGUCCACGCCGUAAACGAUGGUUACUAGCUGUUUGGACUUCGGUCUGAGUGGCUAAGCGAAAGUGAUAAGUAACCCACCUGGGGAGUACGUUCGCAAGAAUGAAACUCAAAGGAAUUGACGGGGGCCCGCACAAGCGGUGGAGCAUGUGGUUUAAUUCGAUGAUACGCGAGGAACCUUACCAGGGCUUAAAUGUAAGUUGCAUUAGUUAGAGAUAGCUAUUUCUUCGGACCACUUACAAGGUGCUGCAUGGUUGUCGUCAGCUCGUGCCGUGAGGUGUCAGGUUAAGUCCUAUAACGAGCGCAACCCCUGUUGUUAGUUGCCAGCGAUUCAAGUCGGGAACUCUAACAAGGCUGCCAGUGCAAACUGUGAGGAAGGUGGGGAUGACGUCAAAUCAUCACGGCCCUUACGUCCUGGGCUACACACGUGCUACAAUGGUAGGGACAGAGAGCAGCCACUACGCGAGUAGGAGCGAAUCUAUAAACCCUAUCACAGUUCGGAUCGGAGUCUGCAACUCGACUCCGUGAAGCUGGAAUCGCUAGUAAUCGGAUAUCAGCCAUGAUCCGGUGAAUACGUUCCCGGGCCUUGUACUCACCGCCCGUC
rnacentral:rRNA from 1 species